AUGAACGCCGGCGGCAGGCUUAACACAUGCAAGUCGAGCGGAGAUGAGGUGCUUGCACCUUAUCUUAGCGGCGGACGGGUGAGUAAUGCUUAGGAAUCUGCCUAUUAGUGGGGGACAACAUUCCGAAAGGAAUGCUAAUACCGCAUACGUCCUACGGGAGAAAGCAGGGGAUCUUCGGACCUUGCGCUAAUAGAUGAGCCUAAGUCGGAUUAGCUAGUUGGUGGGGUAAAGGCCUACCAAGGCGACGAUCUGUAGCGGGUCUGAGAGGAUGAUCCGCCACACUGGGACUGAGACACGGCCCAGACUCCUACGGGAGGCAGCAGUGGGGAAUAUUGGACAAUGGGGGGAACCCUGAUCCAGCCAUGCCGCGUGUGUGAAGAAGGCCUUAUGGUUGUAAAGCACUUUAAGCGAGGAGGAGGCUACUGAGACUAAUACUCUUGGAUAGUGGACGUUACUCGCAGAAUAAGCACCGGCUAACUCUGUGCCAGCAGCCGCGGUAAUACAGAGGGUGCGAGCGUUAAUCGGAUUUACUGGGCGUAAAGCGUGCGUAGGCGGCUUUUUAAGUCGGAUGUGAAAUCCCGAGCUUAACUUGGGAAUUGCAUUCGAUACUGGGAAGCUAGAGUAUGGGAAAAGA
rnacentral:rRNA from 1 species